GAGAUGAGGUAGCUGAGGGCAGGUCCAGCUGGCUGGAGGGAAAAAAAUACCAGAAGUGUUAUCCUGGAAGAGGUCACAGAAAAGAAAACAUGAACAUUGAUUCAGAAGAAGAGAUGAAUGGUUGGGAACCAAGACAGGGUGAAAUCAAGGAUGGCUGAGGAAACAGAUGAAGUGACAAGUGAGCCAGAUUUUGGAUGAUCCAAGGAAGUUAUGGGUGGCGGAGGAGAUCCAGGAGAGGUUAAUGGAAGAUGUGGGACUGAAUUGAGUCUUGCUAGUCAAAGAUAAUUUGGCUGAAGAAGAGGAUGGCAUUCUGGCAAGAAUAAAGAUGAGGAGAAGGAAUGCGCACCACAUAAUUUGGAACAGAGUCCAGACUGACCUGAAUGGAAAGCAAGCUGCAGAUAGGAAGACUGUGUGCACAUAGAUAAUUGGACAAGAUCCUCAUUUUGCAGGUAUUUGGUUGGUGUCUUAGUCCGUUCAGGCUGCUAUAAGAGAAUACUAUUGAUUGGGUGGCUUAUAAACAAUGAAAUUGUAUUUUUCACAGCUCUGGAGGCUAGGAAGCCCAAGAUCAAGGCACCACCAGAUUCAGUGUCUGGUUCAUAGACAGCUUUGUUGUGUUCUUACAUAGCAGAAGGUGGUGAGGGUGCUCUCUGGAGCCUCUGUUAUAAGAGCGCUAAUCUCAUUUAUGACAGCUCCAGUGUCAUGACCUAAUAACCUCCCAAAGGCCUUAUCUCUAAAUGCCAUCACACUGGGCAUUAGGAUUUAACAUAUGAAUUUUGAGGGGACAAAAACAUUUAGUCUAUUUGUCUAAAACUUGCUGACAAUUUGGCUUCCCAUUCAACGAGUCAGUGUCCUUAAAGACAUAUU
rnacentral:lncRNA from 1 species